UGCAAGUCGAACGGUAACAGGAAACAGCUUGCUGUUUCGCUGACGAGUGGCGGACGGGUGAGUAAUGUCUGGGAAACUGCCUGAUGGAGGGGGAUAACUACUGGAAACGGUAGCUAAUACCGCAUAAUGUCGCAAGACUAAAGAGGGGGACCUUCGGGCCUCUUGCCAUCGGAUGUGCCCAGAUGGGAUUAGCUAGUAGGUGGGGUAACGGCUCACCUAGGCGACGAUCCCUAGCUGGUCUGAGAGGAUGACCAGCCACACUGGAA
rnacentral:rRNA from 1 species